rnacentral:rRNA from 1 species
UACGGAGGGAGCAAGCGUUACUCGGAAUUACUGGGCGUAAAGGGCUCGUAGGCGGCCAACUAAGUCGGACGUGAAAUCCCUCAGCUUAACUGGGGAACUGCGUCCGAUACUGGAUGGCUUGGAUUCGGGAGAGGGAUGCGGAAGUUCCAGGUGUAGCGGUGAAAUGCGUAGAUAUCUGGAGGAACACCGGUGGCGAAGGCGGCAUCCUGGACCGAUAUUGACGCUGAGGAGCGAAAGCCAGGGGGAGCAAACGGG